GAGUAGGUGGGCCUCCGUAGGGAGCCAGCGUGGAUCGAGUGCGGGGCCUGGACUUCCCGCCCCCUCCGCACUGCAGACUCUGCGGUGAUUUAAAGGUGCCUGGCGGUGGUACGGGAUCCAACUGUAAAAUGUCAUCCCAGCUAGUGUGACAUCACCACAGUUUAGUGUGACACCCCCAGAGCUUGGGCAGUGUACGGGACGACAGUGCCUAGCAGAGGAGCUUCACUGCCGGUGAGGGAUUACCUCAGAAACUUCCUUCUACUACUUAAAGUCCUCACAUUGGGCUGACCUGGGAAACAUGAAGAUAAAAAGAGUGGGUAAACAUGCCUGCUUGAUGAGCCAGAAAAAAAGGCAGAAACCUGUGGUCUGGGUAGAACAGAUCCUGCUCAGAAUGUAAGCUUCAAACAUGUUUAUCAUGCCUUGGUUCAACCUAACUCUCUGACAUGUUCCUAAACUCCUGCUCUCUCAAGUUAUGUCCCUUUCCUCUUUUCAAAUAUCUCUCAGAAUUCACCCUUUCGGGAACCUUUGCUGAUUGACUCCUAUUUUAUUUGAAUUCUGCAUCAUCAUCUGAUUACUUAAAUUAACCUGUACCUUCUUUAUUUAUACUUGUUAACUUCUAUUUUCAUUGCUCUUAGGUCCUCAGUCUUUCUCACUAUACGGAGAGCUUCUUAAAGUCUGUAUUUUCUCCUCUUUAGUAUCAUUCACUCAUUCAUCCAGCAAACUGCUUGUGUGCCUGCUCUGUGCUAUACACUCUUCUAGACACUGGGUCAGGUAUGAAUGAGACAGGUGAAUAAAGCAUGGUCUUUUCCCUCAGGGACCUUACAGUCUAAUGAGGAAAAAACGUGUGCAGACAUAUAUAAGAUAAGUGAGAGAGUCGGAGAAGAACAUCAGAAGUGAUAUUUGAGCAUAGUAAGGUCAAAGAAGUUUCAAAGUUUAGUCAUUUGUCCAUUCAGUAACUAUUUAUAGAGCAUCUUCUGUGUGCUAGGCACUAUAUAAGAAAUUAAGGGGCUGGGUGUGGUGGCUCAUGCCUGUAAUCCCAGCACUUCGGGAGGCUGAGGCAGGUGAAUCACCUGAGGUCAGGAGUUCGAGACCAGCCUGGCCAACAUGGUGAAACCCCGUCUCUACUAAAAAUACAAACAUUAGCCAAGUGUAGUGGCGCAUGCCUGUAAUCCCAGCUACCCUGGAGGCUUAAGCAGAAGAACCGCUGGAACCCAGGAGAAGAAGGCUACCAUGAGCCGAGAUUGCACCAUUGCACUCCAGCCUGGGCGACAGUGAGACUCUGUCUCAAAAAAAAAAAAAAGAAAGAAAGAAAGAAAUAAAAAAAAAAGAAAUUA
rnacentral:lncRNA from 1 species